rnacentral:misc_RNA from 1 species
GAUGAAGAACGCAGCGAAAUGCGAUACGUAAUGUGAAUUGCAAAUUCAGUGAAUCAUCGAAUCUUUGAACGCACAUUGCGCCCGCUAGUAUUCUGGCGGGCAUGCCUGUCCGAGCGUCAUUUCAACCCUCAAGCCCCCGGGCUUGGUGUUGGGGAUCGGCGAGCCUCCGCGCCCGCCGUCCCCUAAAUCUAGUGGCGGUCUCGCUGUAGCUUCCUCUGCGUAGUAGCACACCUCGCACUGGGAAACAGCGCGGCCACGCCGUUAAACCCCCAACUUCUGAACGUUUGACCUCGGAUCAGGUAGGAAUACCCGCUGAACUUAAGCAUAUCAAUAAGCGGAGGA